GUUGCCUGGCAACCGUCAGUGACGAAGGAGCCCUUGCGCCUUCCUUCCGCUAGGUGGCGGUAGGAGUUCGGCGAACCGAGAGGUUCCGCGCCCACUUCGCGGCCCAGAGGACCGAGCCCGGCCUCCGGUGCAAGGAAACCCCAGAGGCCGGAACUAGAAUUGCAAAUUUUUUUUCACCCCGGAUUCCAACGGCAUUCUGUUAUAAGCAACAGAGAAUGAACGAAGACAGAAAAUUGGAACCAAGAAGUGGGAUUUUGCUGAUGACAAAUACCUGAAAAUGGGGAAGCAGCCUUGGAACUAGAGCCCCAACUUUUUACUGAGCACAAUAUAGCCAAAAGAUGACAUUGCCCAGCCUCUUUCGCAGAUAGCUGUGGCUAUUCCAGGAUCCCAGAAAAUGGUAGCCACAAAUGAAGGCCUCUGAAGCAGAACUGCCCUGGAUCUUUACUGUGCUGGUGCCCUCUCGGACUUUCUCUUGCCCUUCUGUCUCUGGCCUCUCAUUCUCCCCCGAGGCAUGGAAACUAGAAUUCCUCUUCCCCCAGCGAUUGUCAGUGAAACUUCAGAGGGCAAAGGGGAAGUUUUCCUUGGCCCCUCCAGUUUUGGUGCUGUGAACAGGAUACCAAAGCUGCUCUGUUCUUCUGGAAGCUGCAAUGAAGGGAACCAAGGACCUGACGAGCCAGCAGAAGGAGUCUAACGUGAAGACAUUUUGCUCCAAGAAUAUCCUAGCCAUCCUUGGCUUCUCCUCUAUCAUAGCUGUGAUAGCUUUGCUUGCUGUGGGGUUGACCCAGAACAAAGCAUUGCCAGAAAACGUUAAGUAUGGGAUUGUGCUGGAUGCGGGUUCUUCUCACACAAGUUUAUACAUCUAUAAGUGGCCAGCAGAAAAGGAGAAUGACACAGGGGUGGUGCAUCAAGUAGAAGAAUGCAGGGUUAAAGGUCCUGGAAUCUCAAAAUUUGUUCAGAAAGUAAAUGAAAUAGGCAUUUACCUGACUGAUUGCAUGGAAAGAGCUAGGGAAGUGAUUCCAAGGUCCCAGCACCAAGAGACACCCGUUUACCUGGGAGCCACGGCAGGCAUGCGGUUGCUCAGGAUGGAAAGUGAAGAGUUGGCAGACAGGGUUCUGGAUGUGGUGGAGAGGAGCCUCAGCAACUACCCCUUUGACUUCCAGGGUGCCAGGAUCAUUACUGGCCAAGAGGAAGGUGCCUAUGGCUGGAUUACUAUCAACUAUCUGCUGGGCAAAUUCAGUCAGAAAACAAGGUGGUUCAGCAUAGUCCCAUAUGAAACCAAUAAUCAGGAAACCUUUGGAGCUUUGGACCUUGGGGGAGCCUCUACACAAAUCACUUUUGUACCCCAAAAUCAGACUAUCGAGUCCCCAGAUAAUGCUCUGCAAUUUCGCCUCUAUGGCAAGGACUACAAUGUCUACACACAUAGCUUCUUGUGCUAUGGGAAGGAUCAGGCACUCUGGCGGAAACUGGCCAAGGACAUUCAGGUUGCAAGUAAUGAAAUUCUCAGGGACCCAUGCUUUCAUCCUGGAUAUAAGAAGGUAGUGAACGUAAGUGACCUUUACAAGACCCCCUGCACCAAGAGAUUUGAGAUGACUCUUCCAUUCCAGCAGUUUGAAAUCCAGGGUAUUGGAAACUAUCAACAAUGCCAUCAAAGCAUCCUGGAGCUCUUCAACACCAGUUACUGCCCUUACUCCCAGUGUGCCUUCAAUGGGAUUUUCUUGCCACCACUCCAGGGGGAUUUUGGGGCAUUUUCAGCUUUUUACUUUGUGAUGAAGUUUUUAAACUUGACAUCAGAGAAAGUCUCUCAGGAAAAGGUGACUGAGAUGAUGAAAAAGUUCUGUGCUCAGCCUUGGGAGGAGAUAAAAACAUCUUACGCUGGAGUAAAGGAGAAGUAUCUGAGUGAAUACUGCUUUUCUGGUACCUACAUUCUCUCCCUCCUUCUGCAAGGCUAUCAUUUCACAGCUGAUUCCUGGGAGCACAUCCAUUUCAUUGGCAAGGUUGACCAAUCUGAAAGCUCUGUGUGAAGAAGGGGACUGAGUGGCUGUGAAUGAUGAGACCGUUGUUUAGAAGCCAGGCUUAGCCUGAGUCCGGAAGAAGCAACCUCAAUGCUGUGCUUUACCAUAGCACCACCUGCAGAUCCAGGGCAGCGACGCCGGCUGGACUUUGGGCUACAUGCUGAACCUGACCAACAUGAUCCCAGCUGAGCAACCAUUGUCCACACCUCUCUCCCACUCCACCUAUGUCUUCCUCAUGGUUCUAUUCUCCCUGGUCCUUUUCACAGUGGCCAUCAUAGGCUUGCUUAUCUUUCACAAGCCUUCAUAUUUCUGGAAAGAUAUGGUAUAGCAAAAGCAGCUGAAAUAUGCUGGCUGGAGUGAGGGAAAAAAUCGUCCAGGGAGCAUUUUCCUCCAUCGCAGUGUUCAAGGCCAUCCUUCCCUGUCUGCCAGGGCCAGUCUUGACGAGUGUGAAGCUUCCUUGGCUUUUACUGAAGCCUUUCUUUUGGAGGUAUUCAAUAUCCUCUGCCUCAAGGACUUCGGCAGAUACUGUCUCUUUCAUGAGUUUUUCCCAGCUACACCUUUCUCCUUUGUACUUUGUGCUUGUAUAGGUUUUAAAGACCUGACACCUUUCAUAAUAUUUGCUUUAUAAAAGAACAAUAUUGACUUUGUCUAGAAGAACUGAGAGUCUUGAGUCCUGUGAUAGGAGGCUGAGCUGGCUGAAAGAAGAAUCUCAGGAACUGGUUCAGUUGUACUCUUUAAGAACCCCUUUCUCUCUCCUGUUUGCCAUCCAUUAAGAAAGCCAUAUGAUGCCUUUGGAGAAGGCAGACACACAUUUCAUUCCCAGCCUGCUCUGUGGGUAGGAGAAUUUUCUACAGUAGGCAAAUAUGUGCUAAAGCCAAAGAGUUUUAUAAGGAAAUAUAUGUGCUCAUGCAGUCAAUACAGUUCUCAAUCCCACCCAAAGCAGGGAUGUCAAUAAAUCACAUAUUCCUAGGUGAUACCCAAAUGCUACAGAGUGGAACACUCAGACCUGAGAUUUGCAAAAAGCAGAUGUAAAUAUAUGCAUUCAAACAUCAGGGCUUACUAUGAGGUAGGUGGUAUAUACAUGUCACAAAUAAAAAUACAGUUACAACUCAGGGUCACAAAAAUGCAUCUUCCAAUGCAUAUUUUUAUUAUGGUAAAAUAUACAUAAAUAUAAUUCACCAUUUUAACAUUUAAUUCAUAUUAAAUACGUACAAAUCAGUGACAUUUAGUACAUUCACAGUGUUGUGCCACCAUCACCACUAUUUAGUUCCAGAACAUUUGCAUCAUCAAGACAUUGUCUGGAGACAAGACUAUCCUGGGUAGGCAGAAACCAUAGAUCUUUUGUGUUUACAGCUAUGGAAACCAACUGUACCAUAAAGAUAGUUCACUGAGUUUUAAAGCCAAGCCACAUCUUAUUUUUCCAAGGUUUAAUUUAGUGAGAGGGCAGCAUUAGUGUGGAGUGGCAUGCUUUUGCCCUAUCAUGGAAUUUACACAUCAGAAUGUGCAGGAUCCAAGUCUGAAAGUGUUGCCACCCGUCACACAACAUGGGCUUUGUUUGCUUAUUCCAUGAAGCAGCAGCUAUGGACCUUACCAUGGAAACAUGAAGAGACCCUGUACCCCUUUCCUUAAGGAUUGCUGCAAGAGUUACCUGUUGAGCAGGAUUGACUGGUGAUGUUUCAUUCUGACCUUGUCCCAAGCUCUCCAUCUCUAGAUCUGGGGACUGACUGUUGAGCUGAUGGGGAAAGAAAAGCUCUCACACAAACCAGAAGCCAAAUGUCCCCUAUCUCUUGAAUGAUCAAGUCACUUUUGACAACAGCCAGGUGAAUAUAAAAACUUAAUAAAGCUGUGGAAAGGAA